GAUGAAGAACGCAGCGAAAUGCGAUAAGUAAUGUGAAUUGCAGAAUUCAGUGAAUCAUCGAAUCUUUGAACGCACAUUGCGCCCGCUAGUAUUCUGGCGGGCAUGCCUGUUCGAGCGUCAUUUGUACCUUCAAGCUCUGCUUGGUGUUGGGUGUUUGUCUCGCCUCUGCGUGUAGACUCGCCUCAAAACAAUUGGCAGCCGGCGUAUUGAUUUCGGAGCGCAGUACAUCUCGCGCUUUGCACUCAUAACGACGACGUCCAAAAGUACAUUUUUACACUCUUGACCUCGGAUCAGGUAGGGAUACCCGCUGAACUUAAGCAUAUCAAUAAGCGGAGGA
rnacentral:misc_RNA from 1 species